rnacentral:rRNA from 1 species
AUCCUCAGUGCUCAUGUAUWGCAUGGGCUUUUGCCAAGAGUAAAUAYCUUGGCGAAUAAGUGGUGGGUAAGACUGGUGCCAGCCGCCGCGGUAACACCAGCGCCACGAGUGGCAACCACGUUUAUUGGGCCUAAAGCGUCCGUAGCCGGUUUGGUAAAUCUUUUGUGAAAUCGUCGGGCUUAACCUGACGGCGUGCAGGAGACACUGCCGAACUUGAGACCGGGAGGAGUCAGAGGUAUUCCWGGGGGAGCGGUAAAAUGUGAUAAUCCCYGGAGGACCACCUGUGGCGAAGGCAUCUGACCAGAACGGAUCUGACGGUGAGGGACGAAGGCUAGGGGAGCGAUCCGGAUUAGAUACCCGAGUAGUCCUAGCAGUAAACGCUGCGAGCUAGGUGUUGCAUAUYCUACGAGAAUGUGCAGUGUCGAAGCGAAGKCGUUAAGCUCGCCGCCUGGGAAGUACGGUCGCAAGACUGAAACUUUAAGGAAUUGGCG